rnacentral:rRNA from 1 species
GAUGAACGCUGGCGGCGUGCCUAAUACAUGCAAGUCGAGCGAACGGACGAGAAGCUUGCUUCUCUGAUGUUAGCGGCGGACGGGUGAGUAACGCGUGGAUAACCUACCUAUAAGACUGGGAUAACUUCGGGAAACCGGAGCUAAUACCGGAUAAUAUUUUGAACCGCAUGGUUCAAAAGUGAAAGACGGUCUUGCUGUCACUUAUAGAUGGAUCCGCGCUGCAUUAGCUAGUUGGUAAGGUAACGGCUUACCAAGGCAACGAUGCAUAGCCGACCUGAGAGGGUGAUCGGCCACACUGGAACUGAGACACGGUCCAGACUCCUACGGGAGGCAGCAGUAGGGAAUCUUCCGCAAUGGGCGAAAGCCUGACGGAGCAACGCCGCGUGAGUGAUGAAGGUCUUCGGAUCGUAAAACUUUGUUAUUAGGGAAGAACAUAUGUGUAAGUAACUGUGCACAUCUUGACGGUACCUAAUCAGAAAGCCACGGCUAACUACGUG